ensembl:lncRNA MAP3K2-DT MAP3K2 divergent transcript
ACGCACCUGGGUUGUCUCGAGCCUGCGGUAGUGGCCAGAUCCCAGACAUCCGAGUAGAUCCCGUGAAAAGCUUCUUCUUGGUUUCUUCGUACAUUCUGGAUCCACCCCUUUCAUGCAUAUUCCAGACCACAUUUCCACUGGAGCAGUUGAAAUGAGAGAGAUGGGAAUGGGACUCACCCGAACCAGAGGCUAGCCUGGCUGAAGCUCAGCUGCACAGAGUCUGUCCUGAGAAGCAGAAUGCCACUGUCCCCUGGGCCCUCCAGACUGCCAAGGCUGCUCAGUUUCAGAGAGCAGGCUCCCUGUGGCCUCACACGCCGGCUGCCAGCUGGGCCAGGUAACUCUGGCCAGGCUGCACUGUGAAGAACACGAGAGUCGGCGGAGACCUGUGCCUGCUCUUCUCAGCCUCAAUGUCUGGAAGACAAAAAAAGGCAUCCUGCUCCCAAGAUUGUGGUGGAGGCCAGCAGGGUGACGCACAUGAAAGCCACUGGAGAUAGAUGGCACUUGUUCCCACCCACUGCCCACAACAGGCCCAGGACUGCCUCAGCCCCGGUGGACCCCAGAGCCAGCAGGCCCUUCAGAAUGGAAGGUGCCAAACACCAUCGGAAGGCGUGGUUCUUUUCAGAGAACCAGACUCUGAGACUGUGGCCUCCCACUAUGAGUCACCACCUCUGAUUCCUGAGGUCCCCUCCAGUCAUUGGCUCUCUCCCAAGCCAGCCAGCUGAUCAGCCUUGAGGACAGCAGAGUGUCUGCCAAGAGAGAUCUGUGAAGUUUCCCAUCACCGUGGCAGUCCACAAUGUGAAGCCCCUGAGGCCACCCUUCUCCAUGUGUCCCCCACACUGUCCCUGACCCUCCCACCAUCCUAGAAAACCAGCCUCCCAGGUCCUCUGUCAUGGAAGUAAUUUACAGCAAGGCAGAAAGAGCUGAAAGAUUUAUAAAUGUGUAAAAUUUA